AACGCGAAGAACCUUACCCAGACUUGACAUGCAGAGGACGAUGCUGGAAACAGCAUUUCCCUUCGGGGCCUUUGCACAGGUGCUGCAUGGCUGUCGUCAGCUCGUGCCGUGAGGUGUUGGGUUAAGUCCCGCAACGAGCGCAACCCUUAUCAUUAGUUGCCAACAUUUAAGGUGGGAACUCUAAUGAGACUGCCUGGGUUAACCAGGAGGAAGGUGAGGAUGAUGUCAAGUCCGCAUGGCCCUUAUGUCUGGGGCUACACACGUGCUACAAUGGUCGGUACAGAAGGCAGCGAAGCCGCGAGGUGGAGCAAAUCCCAAAAGCCGAUCUCAGUUCAGAUUGUAGUCUGCAACUCGACUACAUGAAGACGGAAUUGCUAGUAAUGGCGUAUCAGCUACAACGCCGUGAAUACGUUCCCGGGCCUUGUACACACCGGUAUCUC
rnacentral:rRNA from 1 species